UACGGAGGGUGCUAGCGUUGUCCGGAAUUAUUGGGCGUAAAGGGCUCGUAGGCGGUUUGUCACGUCGGGAGUGAAAACUCAGGGCUUAACCCUGAGCCUGCUUCCGAUACGGGCAGACUAGAGGUAUGCAGGGGAGAAUGGAAUUCCUGGUGUAGCGGUGAAAUGCGCAGAUAUCAGGAGGAACACCGGUGGCGAAGGCGGUUCUCUGGGCAUUACCUGACGCUGAGGAGCGAAAGUGUGGGGAGCGAACAGG
rnacentral:rRNA from 1 species